rnacentral:rRNA from 1 species
GACGAACGCUGGCGGCGUGCUUAACACAUGCAAGUCGAACGGAAAGACGCGGCGUUUGUUGGUUUCUCGAUUGGCGAGCGGGGGAGUAACACGUGAGUAUACUGCACUUGACUUUGUGAGAACUUUAGGAAACUGGGGCGAAUACCGGGUAGGAGCUCCUGCAGCGUAUGGUGGGUUGGAAAGUUUCGGCGGUUGUGGAUGGUCUCGAGGCUUAUCAGCUUGUUGGUGGGGUAGUGGCUUACCAAGGCUUUGACGGGUAGGCGGCCUGAGAGGGUGACCGGCCACAUUGGGACUGAGAUACGGCCCAGACUCCUACGGGAGGCAGCAGUGGGGAAUAUUGCAAAAUGGGCGGAAGCCUGAUGCAGCAACGCCGCGUGCGGGAUGACGGCCUUCGGGUUGUAAACCGCUUUCGCAUGUGACGAAGCGUGAGUGACGGUAAUGUGUAAAGAAGCACCGGCUAACUACGUG